rnacentral:sRNA from 1 species
CAAUAAACCCGACAGGAGCGAACAUCCCGAUUCUUCAUCGGGAUAAAGCGGAUGGCGGGACUACAG